UAGGGAAUUCUUCGGCAAUGGGGGCAACCCUGACCGAGCAACGCCGCGUGAGUGAAGAAGGUUUUCGGAUCGUAAAGCUCUGUUGUAAGAGAAGAACGUGUGUGAGAGUGGAAAGUUCACACAGUGACGGUAACUUACCAGAAAGGGACGGCUAACUACGUGCCAG
rnacentral:rRNA from 1 species